rnacentral:lncRNA from 1 species
UAUGUAAGGACAGUAGUUUUAGCUAUAUUGAAUUUAGCGCGUAAAUAGGUUAGGGAAUAAAACAGGUGGCGUUAGUGCUACAAAGAAAGCAGGAGUGAAAAGAUAUAGAGAUUUAAGAGAUAUAUGUAAGAAAAUUAAUCAAGAAACAACGGUGUGGAUAUUAGCAUUGAAUGUUGUUUCUUUGUUAUUACAGAGAAACAAUUCUACCUAUUAUCUACCCAUAACCUGCACAAUAAAUAAGACAUUAUA